rnacentral:rRNA from 1 species
GGGUAGUUUGACUGGGGCGGUCUCCUCCCAAAGAGUAACGGAGGAGCACGAAGGUUAGCUAAUCACGGUCGGACAUCGUGAGGUUAGUGCAAAGGCAUAAGCUAGCUUGACUGCGAGAGUGACGGCUCGAGCAGGUACGAAAGUAGGUCUUAGUGAUCCGGUGGUUCUGAAUGGAAGGGCCAUCGCUCAACGGAUAAAAGGUACUCCGGGGAUAACAGGCUGAUACCGCCCAAGAGUUCAUAUCGACGGCGGUGUUUGGCACCUCGAUGUCGGCUCAUCACAUCCUGGGGCUGAAGUAGGUCCCAAGGGUAUGGCUGUUCGCCAUUUAAAGUGGUACGCGAGCUGGGUUUAGAACGUCGUGAGACAGUUCGGUCCCUAUCUGCCGUGGGCGUUGGAAGAUUGAGAGGGGUUGCUCCUAGUACGAGAGGACCGGAGUGAACGCACCACUGGUGUUCGGGUUGUCAUGCCAAUGGCAUUGCCCGGUAGCUAAGUGCGGAAAAGAUAAGCGCUGAAAGCAUCUAAGCGCGAAACUUGCCUCAAGAUGAGUCUUCCCUGGGCCUUUAAGGCCCCUGAAGGAACGUUUAAGACUAAGACGUUGAUAGGCUGGGUGUGUAAGUGCAGCGAUGCAUUGAGCUAACCAGUACUAAUGAUCCGU